UACGGGGGGGGCAAGCGUUGUUCGGAAUUACUGGGCGUAAAGGGCUCGUAGGUGGCCAACUAAGUCAGACGUGAAAUCCCUCGGCUUAACCGGGGAACUGCGUCUGAUACUGGAUGGCUUGAGGUUGGGAGAGGGAUGCGGAAUUCCAGGUGUAGCGGUGAAAUGCGUAGAUAUCGAGAGGAACACCUGCGGCGAAGGCGGGUUGCUGGGCCGACACUGACGCUGAUGCGCGAAAGCCAGGGGAGCGAACGGG
rnacentral:rRNA from 1 species